CAACGAAGGAGAAGAACAGAGAAGGGAAGCAAAACGAAACUGAAGAGGAAGGAAGAAGCCAUCCGCAGCAAGAAGGAAGGCACCCCACCUCUCAUCACUCUGAAUCUUCGAAGCUUCUUUGUUGGUAGUGACCGUAGGCAAGAACUCUUCCCUUGAUUGAGGUGAGGUCAGCCAUUCGUUCUUGAAAGAGAGGCCAAAGCUCCAAUUCCCUACGGUUAGGGUUCUGAUUCUGGAAAGAAGUAAAAAUAGAAUUUUCAACUUCAAAAGAGACGGGUCCGGCAGAUGAGCUCUUUGAGUUUCGUUCUAACCUCUGAGUUAUGAGGAUCCGACGCGUGGAGGAGUCUUCAUAUGGAGCACACUUUGGACCACUUUCUUGAACGAUGUUCGGAGAUCACCCCAGAAUUAGUCGCAGUGAAUCUUUCGCUCCUUUUUUAUGAUCUUUGUAUUACUUCC